GGGGGUAUAGCUCAGUGGUAGAGCACAUGCUUAGCACGCACAGGGUCCUGGGCUCAAUCCUCAGUACCUCCA
rnacentral:tRNA from 1 species